GACACCCCCAUUCCAAAACCCUAAACUCACAAAACCAUCAAAUUGAAAGCUCAAAUCUGAUCAAAAACGAAAUCCAAACAUAGAUUAGUGAUCCUCAUCACGAGAGGAUUCCAAGGACAAGAUACCGGGACAUCGAGCGGGCAAGCCGGUGGUGAUUCUCGUUUGAAGGGCGUGCGUCAAGGUAAUUAGUUGGUCACAUGGAUGGCGAUCAAGCGACUUGAUGAUGAACCGAACACUCCACUUAGAAGCUUCCGCUAUGUUUGAACUUGUUAAAUUGUUGUUCUUUGGUUGUAAACAAAUUCUUAAACACACUUAGUACGUUCUA